AAACCGGAGGGGCCCUACAGUGUCUUCUGGGAUUUGUAGUUUGGACCCGGAGCCUGGCGAGAAUUAGAAAAGACGCAACGUCGUGGGCGGGGCGAGAGUGGUGCACCCUGGGAAUGGUAGUUCUAGGUUCCCCCAAAGGUUUAAGCGUCCGCCGGAUCACGAAAGCCUGGGGCUUUGAGGUUUCCCAAACUGGGGUCUCCCUGUUACAGCUGUCUCAGAGAGCUGUCGGAUUGUCUCCAGAGGGUAUGCUAGACGGCCAGACUGAUUUGGUAGUUUUUAAUAAAAAGUAUACCCUGGGGCAUCCAUUGCUGGUAUUGAUCACCUUGCAAUUUGAGCCAUCCCUGCUGUCCCAACCUAGACCUGACCUUCAUGGACGAAGGAGAAUCGGCAUCGUCGUCAUUGGCAUCGUCCUCAUCAUCAGUCGUCGUGCUGAGCAUGAGAAAGAGGUAUGGAGGAAGCUGCUAGCUAUAUGUUCCUGUUGACCUGAGGGGCUGGUGAUCACUCCCUUCCGCGGAGCCACGCUGCAAGCUGCAGGUCCAGGCAUUGGGGGUGAGGACGCAAGGUUGGCUACCUGCUGCAAACAGAAUUAUUUGCUUCUGCAUUAGAUGGAGGCGCCCUCCGGACCAAAUCGGAGAGAAGGAACAGCCCCAUUCAUCACAAGGGUGGUAACAUGCGGUACACACUGUUGUGUACUUUGCUCUUGGCAUUCAUCUUGAAGGAAGGUAAUUUUUUUGUAUUUUGUUUCCUGGUCUAUAAAAUGGAAAUAAUUGUACCUGUCCCAGAUGCUUCCUGUUAGAAUUAAAUGAGAUAAUUUAAA